GCAGAAGAGGCAGAUUCCUGACCCACCAUCUGAACUCUGAGGCCUUCAGGUAGAAGGCAACUUUCUAUGGAUUAUGAGUCUCCAGGUUCCAUCAAGCCCCAUCAACAUGGAAGUCUCCUGCAUCGAGAAGCUUCUCUGUUACCGGCCCACUUACAGAGGCAUAGAAGGUCUGCUGAUUUGCUUUAAGCCUGAAGUUACUUUGUAAGACAUCAAAAUAAUUAUCAGACAUAUCCACUCAUCGGAGGCAGUUUGGAACAUACCAAAAAGAAAAAUAUACAUAAUCAUCAUUCCUAUCAUACAGAGUUAACUACCGUUGUUAUACCAUUCCAUCCUUGACUUUUCCUGGUUGUGUUUUCAUCCUUUUGUGCAGCCAUGAUUAUACCAUUGUACAUUUUCA